rnacentral:rRNA from 1 species
CUUACCAGGCCUUGACAUGCAGAGAACUUUCCAGAGAUGGAUUGGUGCCUUCGGGAACUCUGACACAGGUGCUGCAUGGCUGUCGUCAGCUCGUGUCGUGAGAUGUUGGGUUAAGUCUCGUAACGAGCGCAACCCUUGUCCUUAGUUACCAUCAUUCAGUUGGGGACUCUAAGGAGACCGCCGGUGUAAACCGGAGGAAGGUGGGGAUGACGUCAAAUCAUCAUGCCCUUAAUGUCCUGGGCGACACACGUGCUACAAUGGUCGGAACAAAGAGCUGCAAACUCGCGAGAGUAAGCGAAUCUCAGAAAACCGAUCUCAGUUCGGAUCGAAGUCUGCAACUCGACUUCGUGAAGCCGGAAUUGCUAGUAAUCGCAGAUC